GUAAGGAAUAUUGGACAAUGGACGCAAGUCUGAUUCAGCCAUGCCGCGUGAAGGAUUAAGGUCCUCUGGAUUGUAAACUUCUUUUAUAAGGGACGAAAAAAGGCUUUUCUAAGUCGUCUGACGGUACCUUAUGAAUAAGCACCGGCUAACUCCGUGCCAGCAGCCGCGGUAAUACGGAGGGUGCAAGCGUUAUCCGGAUUCACUGGGUUUAAAGGGUGCGUAGGCGGGCAGGUAAGUCAGUGGUGAAAUCCUAGAGCUUAACUCUAGAACUGCCAUUGAUACUAUCUGUCUUGAAUAUUGUGGAGGUAAGCGGAAUAUGUCAUGUAGCGGUGAAAUGCUUAGAUAUGACAUAGAACACCUAUUGCGAAGGCAGCUUACUACGCAUAUAUUGACGCUGAGGCACGAAAGCGUGGGGAUCAAACAGGAUUAGAAACCCUUGUAGUCC
rnacentral:rRNA from 1 species